rnacentral:rRNA from 1 species
UGGGGAAUUUUCCGCAAUGGGCGCAAGCCUGACGGAGCAACGCCGCGUGAGGGAUGAAGGCCUCUGGGCUGUAAACCUCUUUUCUCAAGGAAGAAGAUCUGACGGUACUUGAGGAAUAAGCCACGGCUAAUUCCGUG